CUACGGGUUGCUGCAGGUAGGAAUAUUUUACAAUGCACGCAAGUGUGAUAAAUUGAGCCAGAGUGCUUUUCAUUCGAAAGGCUUUUGCCAAAUGUAAAAAGUUUGGCGAAUAAGGACUGGGUAAGACGAGUGCCAGCCGCCGCGGUAAUACUCGCGGUCCAAGUCGCAGCCAUAUUUAUUGGGUCUAAAACAUCCGUAGCUUGUUUUGUAAGUUUCUUGUGAAAUCUUAUAUCUUAAGUAUAAGGCGUGCAAGAAAUACUGCAGAACUAGAGACUGGAAGACGUAAGAAGUACGACCAAAGUAGCGGUUAAAUGUGUUAAUCUUGGUUGGACUCACAAUUAGCGAAGGCAUCUUACGAGGACAGUUCUGACAGUAAGGGAUGAAAGCUAGGGGCGCAAAAGGGAUUAGAUACCCCCGUAGUC
rnacentral:rRNA from 1 species